rnacentral:rRNA from 1 species
UAGGGAAUCUUCCACAAUGGACGAAAGUCUGAUGGAGCAACGCCGCGUGAGCGAAGAAGGUUUUCGGAUCGUAAAGCUCUGUUGCGAGGGAAGAACAAGUACGGGAGUAACUGCCCGUACCUUGACGGUACCUCGUCAGAAAGCCACGGCUAACUACGUGCCAGCAGCCGCGGUAAUACGUAGGUGGCAAGCGUUGUCCGGAAUUAUUGGGCGUAAAGCGCGCGCAGGCGGUCCUUUAAGUCUGAUGUGAAAGCCCACGGCUCAACCGUGGAGGGUCAUUGGAAACUGGAGGACUUGAGUACAGAAGAGGAAAGCGGAAUUCCACGUGUAGCGGUGAAAUGCGUAGAGAUGUGGAGGAACACCAGUGGCGAAGGCGGCUUUCUGGUCUGUAACUGACGCUGAGGCGCGAAAGCGUGGGGAGCAAACA